UACGUAGGUGGCAAGCGUUGUCCGGCUUUAUUGGGCGUAAAGCGAGCGCAGGCGGUUCCUUAAGUCUGAUGUGAAAGCCCACGGCUCAACCGUGGAAGGUCAUUGGAAACUGGGGAACUUGAGUGCAGAAGAGGAGAGUGGAAUUCCAUGUGUAGCGGUGAAAUGCGUAGAUAUAUGGAGGAACACCAGUGGCGAAGGCGACUCUCUGGUCUGUAACUGACGCUGAGGCUCGAAAGCGUGGGGAG
rnacentral:rRNA from 1 species